AGUCAAGUGAAUAAGUGCAUCAGGCGGAUGCCUUGGCGAUGAUAGGCGACGAAGGACGUGUAAGCCUGCGAAAAGCGCGGGGGAGCUGGCAAUAAAGCUAUGAUUCCGCGAUGUCCGAAUGGGGAAACCCACUGCAUUCUGUGCAGUAUCCUAAGUUGAAUACAUAGGCUUAGAGAAGCGAACCCGGAGAACUGAACCAUCUAAGUACCCGGAGGAAAAGAAAUCAACCGAGAUUCCGCAAGUAGUGGCGAGCGAACGCGGAGGAGCCUGUACGUAAUAACUGUCGAGAUAGAAGAACAAGCUGGGAAGCUUGACCAUAGCGGGUGACAGUCCCGUAUUCGAAAUCUCAACAGCGGUACUAAGCGUACGAAAAGUAGGGCGGGACACGUGAAAUCCUGUCUGAAUAUGGGGGGACCAUCCUCCAAGGCUAAAUACUCAUCAUCGACCGAUAGUGAACCAGUACCGUGAGGGAAAGGCGAAAAGAACCCCGGGAGGGGAGUGAAACAGAACCUGAAACCUGAUGCAUACAAACAGUGGGAGCGCCCUAGUGGUGUGACUGCGUACCUUUUGUAUAAUGGGUCAACGACUUACAUUCAGUAGCGAGCUUAACCGGAUAGGGGAGGCGUAGGGAAACCGAGUCUUAAUAGGGCGAUGAGUUGCUGGGUGUAGACCCGAAACCGAGUGAUCUAUCCAUGGCCAGGUUGAAGGUGCCGUAACAGGUACUGGAGGACCGAACCCACGCAUGUUGCAAAAUGCGGGGAUGAGCUGUGGGUAGGGGUGAAAGGCUAAACAAACUCGGAGAUAGCUGGUUCUCCCCGAAAACUAUUUAGGUAGUGCCUCGAGCAAGACACUGAUGGGGGUAAAGCACUGUUAUGGCUAGGGGGUUAUUACAACUUACCAACCCAUGGCAAACUCAGAAUACCAUCAAGUGGUUCCUCGGGAGACAGACAGCGGGUGCUAACGUCCGUUGUCAAGAGGGAAACAACCCAGACCGCCGGCUAAGGUCCCAAAUGAUAGAUUAAGUGGUAAACGAAGUGGGAAGGCACAGACAGCCAGGAUGUUGGCUUAGAAGCAGCCAUCAUUUAAAGAAAGCGUAAUAGCUCACUGGUCGAGUCGUCCUGCGCGGAAGAUGUAACGGGGCUCAAAUCUAUAACCGAAGCUGCGGAUGCCGGUUUACCGGCAUGGUAGGGGAGCGUUCUGUAGGCUGAUGAAGGUGCAUUGUAAAGUGUGCUGGAGGUAUCAGAAGUGCGAAUGUUGACAUGAGUAGCGAUAAAGCGGGUGAAAAGCCCGCUCGCCGAAAGCCCAAGGUUUCCUACGCAACGUUCAUCGGCGUAGGGUAAGUCGGCCCCUAAGGCGAGGCAGAAAUGCGUAGUCGAUGGGAAACAGGUUAAUAUUCCUGUACUUGAUUCAAAUGCGAUGUGGGGACGGAGAAGGUUAGGUUGGCAAGCUGUUGGAAUAGCUUGUUUAAGCCGGUAGGUGGAAGACUUAGGCAAAUCCGGGUUUUCUUAACACCGAGAAGUGAUGACGAGUGUCUACGGACACGAAGCAACCGAUACCACGCUUCCAGGAAAAGCCACUAAGCUUCAGUUUGAAUCGAACCGUACCGCAAACCGACACAGGUGGGCAGGAUGAGAAUUCUAAGGCGCUUGAGAGAACUCGGGAGAAGGAACUCGGCAAAUUGAUACCGUAACUUCGGGAGAAGGUAUGCCCUCUAAGGUUAAGGACUUGCUCCGUAAGCCCCGGAGGGUCGCAGAGAAUAGGUGGCUGCGACUGUUUAUUAAAAACACAGCACUCUGCCAACACGAAAGUGGACGUAUAGGGUGUGACGCCUGCCCGGUGCCGGAAGGUUAAUUGAAGAUGUGCAAGCAUCGGAUCGAAGCCCCGGUAAACGGCGGCCGUAACUAUAACGGUCCUAAGGUAGCGAAAUUCCUUGUCGGGUAAGUUCCGACCCGCACGAAUGGCGUAACGAUGGCCACACUGUCUCCUCCCGAGACUCAGCGAAGUUGAAGUGGUUGUGAAGAUGCAAUCUACCCGCUGCUAGACGGAAAGACCCCGUGAACCUUUACUGUAGCUUUGCAUUGGACUUUGAAGUCACUUGUGUAGGAUAGGUGGGAGGCUUGGAAGCAGAGACGCCAGUCUCUGUGGAGUCGUCCUUGAAAUACCACCCUGGUGUCUUUGAGGUUCUAACCCAGACCCGUCAUCCGGGUCGGGGACCGUGCAUGGUAGGCAGUUUGACUGGGGCGGUCUCCUCCCAAAGCGUAACGGAGGAGUUCGAAGGUUACCUAGGUCCGGUCGGAAAUCGGACUGAUAGUGCAAUGGCAAAAGGUAGCUUAACUGCGAGACCGACAAGUCGGGCAGGUGCGAAAGCAGGACAUAGUGAUCCGGUGGUUCUGUAUGGAAGGGCCAUCGCUCAACGGAUAAAAGGUACUCCGGGGAUAACAGGCUGAUUCCGCCCAAGAGUUCAUAUCGACGGCGGAGUUUGGCACCUCGAUGUCGGCUCAUCACAUCCUGGGGCUGUAGUCGGUCCCAAGGGUAUGGCUGUUCGCCAUUUAAAGUGGUACGUGAGCUGGGUUUAAAACGUCGUGAGACAGUUUGGUCCCUAUCUGCAGUGGGCGUUGGAAGUUUGACGGGGGCUGCUCCUAGUACGAGAGGACCGGAGUGGACGAACCUCUGGUGUACCGGUUGUAACGCCAGUUGCAUAGCCGGGUAGCUAAGUUCGGAAGAGAUAAGCGCUGAAAGCAUCUAAGCGCGAAACUCGCCUGAAGAUGAGACUUCCCUUGCGGUUUAACCGCACUAAAGGGUCGUUCGAGACCAGGACGUUGAUAGGUGGGGUGUGGAAGCGCGGUAACGCGUGAAGCUAACCCAUACUAAUUGCCCGUGAGGCUUGACUCU
rnacentral:rRNA from 1 species